rnacentral:rRNA from 1 species
AUACGUAGGGGGCAAGCGUUAUCCGGAUUUACUGGGUGUAAAGGGAGCGUAGACGGAAGGCCAAGUCUGAUGUGAAAGCCCGCGGCUCAACUGCGGGACUGCAUUGGAAACUGGUCAUCUGGAGUGCAGGAGGGGUAAGCGGAAUUCCUAGUGUAGCGGUGAAAUGCGUAGAUAUUAGGAGGAACACCGGCGGCGAAGGCGGCUUACGGGACGGUAACUGACGUUGAGGCUCGAAAGCGUGGGGAGCAAACAGGAUUAGAUACCCUGGUAGUCCACGCCGUAAACGAUGAUUACUAGGUGUUGGUUGUCAUAGACAAUCGGUGCCGCAGCUAACGCAAUAAGUAAUCCACCUGAGGAGUACGUUCGCAAGAAUGAAACUUAAAGGAAUUGACGGGG